rnacentral:lncRNA from 1 species
CCUUGGCAUGCAUAAAUACCCAACCCUUUUUUACUAGUCACCUCCAAUGUUUAUUAUAAAAUUAUUACAGACCCAGUAAUGAAUUACAUCGGAAAAAGAAAAGAAAAUUAUAAUUAGAAGAAUCCACAUUCCCGACUUCCUUCUGAGUUAUGGACCAAACCACUUCAAAUGCCAUUUGUUUCAAAGCCUUUCUCAAACUUAAGUGUGUCAGAGUUCCCUAAGGGCCUCAAAAGGACCCCGGGCAGUGCUCACACCCAAAUUUUAUAACCAGAAUAGGGACAAAUGCAGUGUGAAAAUGCCAACUUUUCUGUGUCCAAGUUCAAAGGAAGCUCAAGGCUCCCAAGGUAAGGUUGACACAAAAAGGUCAAAAGUUAGUGGUCUAAGAGUAGAAUGAAAGUUCUUGACAUAGUUUUAAAAAGAUUUCAGAAGAAAAACAAUUCGAAAAGAGACUUAUUUGUAAUAGUUUUAUAAACCAACAUAGGGAGUUAUUAAAUAAGACAAUUUUUAAAAUAGGGUAGAGUAACAAGCAACAGGCUAAACACAACAACCAAAGCAGGUUCAUACAUAACCAAGAAACAUAGGACCAAGGCAGAUUCAUCAACCACAAAUAAGGGUAGUAGGAUUUGGGGACACAUAGGUCACAUAGAUAAACACAAAUAUGCAUGAGCACUUAAGUAUAGAAUAAACAAUAUGCUAAGGGGUUAGGGAACUUCAGAAUUGACACAAAAUCAUAUAACUUAAGGAUAGCCAACUACUUUACAUAGAUGGGUUCAUGCCAGAAAUUAGAGAAACAUAAGUAAGGAAGAGCCACAUUGGGGUAUAAUAGGAGGGGAAUAAAAUUUAUAAGCACGAUCAGUCUAAGGGAGGGAACACAUUCAGAAGCAUGCAGUAAAGUGAUGAAGUAAACAUAUCAGUUGCAAGUUGAACAACAAAACCAUAAAUGAAAAUAUACAAGAUAUAGGUUGAACUAAAGCAAUAAAAGAAACAUAUUAUUUUUGAAACUAGAAUUGAAAUCAGAACCUACCAGUGAAGAAGAUAGUAAACACAAAUGAGGAGCAAGAGAGUAGAGUAAUCAACCUUGGCUUGCAGUCGGCUGACUUGGAACAAUAGCAAGUAACAUGAGAAAAGAGAGCAGAAUAGUGUUUUUUUUGUAUAAGUGAUAAAGAGAGCCUUUUGAACUAAAGUGUUUGUUUUGUGUUAAUGAAAAGCAGAACAUUUAUAGUUUAAAGAACAAGCAACAAAUAAGGCAGGAAACAUAGUUCAACAGUAAUUAAAGCAAUAUGUAUCAAUUAGAACCAAAUCAACAUAGGUACUUUCCUUAAUUAAGGAAUUAAAAAAUCAAACGGUAAUAAGCAGUGACAAAUAAGGAAUGAAAUCAUGUAGGACUGAACAUGACAUAUAAGGAAAUAAGAACUGUACAGAGCAUGUAAUAGAGGCUAGGUUCGACAAAUUCUAAUUAAGAAAAAUAUCUAAGAAUCAAUUUGAUAGCAUAGUCAACCACAAAAUAAGACAAGAAAAUAUUUAGAGGUUGAAAUCAUUAGAGAAUAUCACAAAAAAUUAGUGAAGGAUCAGUCACAAAGAUUCAAAAAUUCAAAAAUAGCAAAUAACACUCAUUUAGCAUAACUUUACGAAAAUAAGCACAUAGUAAGCCAAAUAAGAACCAUAAGAAGUUGAAUAGGACAAAAAUCAUAUAUAAAAAAUUUGGGAUUCAUGUAGAGCAUAACAUGGUUUAAUAGAAUAAACAUGACAUAAUCGGAAGAAAAAAGUUACAGGCAUUGAUGAACAAGAUAAGGUAAAACCACAAAGAAUCAUAAGGCUGUGAGAAACAAACACAUAUACAUAUUAAACGAACAUAUUAUCAGAAAAUAGACUCAGAAUUCAGGAGUGAAACCAAGAAACUUAGGGUUUUCAACACAACAACUCAGAUAAAAAGAAGAACUUCAAGUAACCAUUUAAAUAUAGUGAAAACCAUAAAUUAAUACUAAAAUUAGAAGGAAAAUCCAUUUUUAAAAAGGUUUAAGGAACCCUAAUUUGAAGAUGAACAGUCAUUUUAGAAGAAAUCCUUAAGAAAACAAUAAAGACAACUCGAAUAGACUCAACUCUUGUUAUAGAUCUUAGAAAUCAAAAGUCAAAAUCAGGGUUUCAGAGAGUGAACCCAAGAGAGAGAAUCUGCUAAAAAAUCACAAGUUCUAGCCAGGGAUGGUAGGAUCUUACUAGGACAGGCCGAGAUUGGCCUAAGAAUGACAUGAAAAAUCAUGGAUGAGUUGAACUGCCUCUGGCUCCUUACAGACCUUAGGGUAGCAAUAAUCUGGAACGGGGGGAGCCAUGGAUGCUAGGGGUGGUGUUGGAACUGCCAUUGUUACCGGCGAGCCAACGGUCGGUGAGAGGACCCAUAAUUUAGAAGAGGGAGCUUGAGAUUAUUUGAGAGAGAAUGGGAGGG